GAUGAACGCUGGCGGCGUGCCUAAUACAUGCAAGUCGAGCGAACGGACGAGAAGCUUGCUUCUCUGAUGUUAGCGGCGGACGGGUGAGUAACACGUGGAUAACCUACCUAUAAGACUGGGAUAACUUCGGGAAACCGGAGCUAAUACCGGAUAAUAUUUUGAACCGCAUGGUUCAAAAGUGAAAGACGGUCUUGCUGUCACUUAUAGAUGGAUCCGCGCUGCAUUAGCUAGUUGGUAAGGUAACGGGUUACCAAGGCAACGAUGCAUAGCCGACCGGAGAGGGUGAUAGGCCACACUGGAACUGAGACACGGUCCAGACUACUACGGGAGGCAGCAGUAGGGAAUCUUCCGCAAUGGGCGAAAGCCUGACGGAGCAACGCCGCGUGAGUGAUGAAGGUCUUCGGAUCGUAAAACUCUGUUAUUAGGGAAGAACAUAUGUGUAAGUAACUGUGCACAUCUUGACGGUACCUAAUCAGAAAGCCACGGCUAACUACGUG
rnacentral:rRNA from 1 species